rnacentral:rRNA from 1 species
AAGCCGCGAACGGGUGAGUAACACGUGGGUAACCUGCCCCGAUGAUUGGGACAACCCGAGGAAACUCGGGCUAAUACCGAAUGUGCCCUCCGGCCUCAAGGCCGCUGGGGAAAGGAAGCUUCGGCCUCCGCAUCGGGAUGGGCCCGCGGCCCAUUAGCUUGUUGGUGAGGUAACGGCUCACCAAGGCGACGAUGGGUAGCUGGUCUGAGAGGACGAUCAGCCACACUGGGACUGAGACACGGCCCAGACUCCUACGGGAGGCAGCAGUGGGGAAUCUUGCGCAAUGCGCGAAAGCGUGACGCAGCAACGCCGCGUGGGGGAAGACGGCCUUCGGGUUGUAAACCCCUUUCAGUUGGGACGAAGCUUCGCCGGUGAAUAGCCGGCUGGAGUGACGGUACCUUCAGAAGAAGCCCCGGCUAACUACGUGCCAGCAGCCGCGGUAAUACGUAGGGGGCAAGCGUUGUCCGGAAUCAUUGGGCGUAAAGAGCGUGUAGGCGGCUCGGUAAGUCCGCUGUGAAAGUCCAGGGCUCAACCCUGGAAUGCCGGUGGAAACUGUCGGGCUAGAGUCCGGAAGAGGCGAGUGGAAUUCCUGGUGUAGCGGUGAAAUGCGCAGAUAUCAGGAGGAACACCAAUGGCGAAGGCAGCUCGCUGGGACGGUAC